rnacentral:lncRNA from 1 species
UCCAAAUCCUGCCUUAUUCAGCAACAGCAUAGUUUUUCAAAAAUGCCAACCUGCAAGUGAACAACACUUAGUAGUCUGCUGAAUUAUGAGAGUGCUCUUGAAAAUCUCGUGCCAUAGUAAGGAAGUUCAGAAAGACAUCUCAAGUGAGGACAGCCCUUAAGGGUUUAUGUCCAUUUCUGAAUCAAGUCUGUAAGUGUUACUUCCAUGACAAAUUGAUUUUCACAAAGCUUAGGGACAGGAUUUAAAAAUUUAAAAACAAUUAAAUGUUCUCUUGAAUUAGAGCCCAGCUUAGCAGGAGGAAACAGCUGAAGCAGAUAAGAUAAAUUCAUCGAGAAUGUCUAGAAAUCGUUCUGGGAGUAACGUGAGUGGAAAUUGGGAAGACAAGCUUAAAUUAAAAAGGAUUGAUUUAAAAUCUAGAAAAAGUGUGCUAAUUCAGGUGUUUUCUUUAUCUUUUCUCAUGCAUCAUGAAUGACUGUUUAAAACAAAGGCAAAUAUAUGUGUAUAGGAAAUAUACAGGUCCUGAGGACAGAGAGCAUUAUGCAUUUCUCCUUGGAAAAUAAGCUUCUUGAGGCAGGAAUAACUAUCAGAGUAACAGAGUAGUAGUGCUCUCUAUUUAAAACUUUCUUACUUAUUAAUCACCCAGGUCAGGACAAGCUAUCUUCUCUCAAAGUUUAAGCUUUCACAGUUCAUGAAAAUGUGAAGUUAGUCAUGCAAAAUAAUUCUGUCACCACUCUGUAACAAAUCUUUAAGGUUUAUUGAACACAUUUGAAAGUAUUCCAGGAGAACAGCUGCAUAGGAUUAAUCAUUCUCAGGGCAAAAGCUGGAUUUUUCAGACAUUUGCAUGCACUUCACAGUCUCUCAGAAAAAUAGCCUGUUCCUAUUUAAAAGCUGAAACAAGUCAGCAGUUAUUUUUAACAAAUUUGUUGUCUUGACUAAGCAAUCUACUCAGAAACCUUUGGCAAACUUUGAGUUGCAACUAAGCCUUUUUGGAUACGGGCUUUCAUUAAAUUCCAGCCCCAGAGCAGGACCUGCUGAUGGAUGUCCAGUCCCCACGUGCAGUCAGGCUGGGGUCAGGCCCUGCUCUUCGUUUGGCAGUUGGUGUCUCAAAGCCUCCACAGCCAGCUGCUUUCAUGGUGUUUCAUGGUGCGUGGUGGUCACCUCACCUGGGGUGGGUGAGGUUAUCACUACUUACCUUAUGCUGAUGGCAUGAAUUUAACAGAUGUCUGCAGUCUCCUGGGUUAUUGAGUAUAUCCAAGUUCAUACACAUGCCAAAAAUAACAGAAGCUGUAAUUUGAUUUUAUCUCAUCUGGUUUUAUUUUCUUUAAGCAAAGGGAAGCAAAUAAAUAACUUACGAUAUAAGGAAAUUAUUUCUUUGGAGAUAUUUCAUGGUCCAAAUCACCUGCUGGUUUGCCCAUCCAGCCUAGGAUGAGAGUGUUGUUAUCGUUUUCCAUAGCAAUAGUUGUAUCAGUCUUAGUUGAUAGGAACGCUGAAAUCUAUGGGGCAAAAUCUUUGAUGAAACAGCAGCCUUUGCUUUGUGGAAGCAUUUUUCUGCAAGUUAGUGAUUCCUCCUGAUGUAUUAACAUCAGUUAGAAUUUUCAUUUAAAAUCUAGAACAUUAAUUACCAUUAGCUGGGAACAGCUCCAUGAAAAAACAGAUCAGAAAGAGAACUCGGAGUGUUCUGGACAGUGGGUCUGGACUGUUUUCGUGGAAAAUUUUUCAGAAGGUUUCUGAAGAAGCACAGAGGUCACCAGCUGGCAGGCUGCUCUACUGAAUUGUGCAGCAAUAACAGUGAACAGUAAAUGACCCAACAAGGACAUGCUGAUCAGCUGCUGAUGACAUGGUCUGUUAUUUUGUACUGUAGGUAACUUCAAGGAUAUUCAAAAUAGAAUUUAUUUUUUUAUUUUUUAUUUUUAUUUUUUUGGCAAUACAGGCCAGAAACCUAGAAUUCUGGUCUAUAUCCUUAAUCAUUAACUAUGGAAUGUGAUGUACUUUUCCAGCUUUCUUCGAAGUUCAGGCAAAAGAAAAAUGCAUGAGUAAGAAAACUGUGUGUGUGCAUUGCUCAAGUGAGCCUGCUAGACUUUUCUAACCAGAAUCCUAGAACAGCAAGAGAUCACAUUCGAAUAAUUGAAUGUCUUGCAUGCCAUCCCAGUGAUUUGUGGGAUUCAGUAACUGCAGCGCAUCUGGUGCCAGACAGCAUGUGCAUUUUCAGAGUAUUUCUCUGGAUAAGAGCGAUCCAGCUGUCAAAUAAUGGAUCUGCAGAACAGAAAGAUAAGCAUUAUGCAGAUGUAUGAAGCUCUCGUCAGAUUUCUGAAAGAGCAAAGUUUUGUCUUGUUUAUGGAAAAGCAAAGUUUAAAAGGAAUUCAUUAAAAAUAAGCCAACAACACAAAACAGCCAGCACUAAUUUUUUAGGACGAAAAUAACGUAAUCAUGGCAGGGGAUAAGGCAAAUACUAAGCAGGAGACAACUGCAUAGUUUUAGGAGUUUAGAACUGAGCUGAAACAGGGUUGCAUGCAACCACAUACAAACAAAUAAAUUAUUAAAGUCUGUUGCUGCAAUUACUCAGAUGCUCAGUAGAGUGAAUUAAAACUUGCCUGCAAAGAACUAAACCAGAAUCCUUUAACUCUAUUACUGCUGUUUAUAAGCUUGCUCAUUGCUUAUGGUUUAUAUGUCUGGAAAAGGGAUAAUGUUUUAUCUGCUACAUGAAAUUUGCUUCUGAAGUGUAUUAAAUCAUUGACAACAAAGCAUACCAAUCUAAUUGUUACUAAGUUUUUUAAAGUCAUUCACUCAAUGAAAAGUGAUGUUCUGCUGUCCAACAUCAAACUCUUGAUAGCCAGAGUUUUGAGUAGUAUCAUCAUUAUACCUCUGCAGCUCACUAUCAGAAUGGUGCCAAUAGAGACUAAGGAUAUUUUAGCCAGCACAAUUUAUGUGAAGGAGUGACAAAUGUUAAUGUUCAUUCUGACAUAGUAAUUUUUCUUUGCUAGAACUUAAAGUAAUUUUUAAUGGCAGCUACGUAUAUGUUAAGUGCUUGGGGAUAAGGAGGCUGGUCACAGGGCCAGUGCAACAGUGAAAAUCUCUUGAUAGGUAACUCUUUACAUGCUGUACUUGCAGCAAAGAUGUGUGCACGUCUGUGUGUAUGAUAGGCAUUUCAUGAAGAACUGAGUACACUGAUCUUUCAAAAUACUGUUCCAUAUGUGGAAUGUAUAUCUGUAUCUAGUGGAGCCUUUAUUCAUUUAUUUAUAUCGUUUCCAAUUGCUUUACAAACCAACCCUGGUUUUGUUUUGUUUGGUUGUGGAAGCCUUUUGUCUUGUUGAUUUUGGAGUGCUGCCUAUUUAUAAAAAACAAAACAGAAAAUCUGAAUGUCAGCACCAAUAUGAUUGACCAAAAGCUAUGCUUUUGUUCUCCAAAAUACAGUCGUCUAUUCCUUUGAGUCCUCUAGACUCCUCUUUAAUUAAAGGAAAUAGAAGGACAGACCAAAUGAUGAUUUAUCUCACAUACCCUGGAUACCUAUCUCAACAUGUGAGUGUUAGAUUACUCGGUUUUCUGGUUAAUGCAAAUUUAUUUAAAAUGUCGUUAGAUAAGGAAGUAGGUACGUGUGUUUGUGUAUAUAAAAAAGUAUCAUCUAUUCCAUUUUACCAUAGUAUUUAAGUGAUAGUUUUGGAAUAAGUGAGUUAAAUGGCCUUUGGCAGGAGGGUUGGAACUUGAUGAUCCUUCCGACAAAAGCCAUUCUGUGAUUCUAUAAAUGUCUGUGCUGGGCUGGAGGACAAGUGAGUAGAGUAUAGUGUGUGUGUAUGUAUAUAUAUAUAUAUAUAUAUAUUCUUUUUAUAAAAUUUGUGAAAAUUUGUGAACAAAAAGGAGUUGAGGUAGAAAUCUUGUGAUCCCAUAGUUCUUGUUUUGUUUUUUUGUUGUACCUUGAGCUAUUAUUGGAAUCUUUGCUUUAUGGCAGGAUUUAUUUUCAGAGAGAUGAGUGACUGCUGGAAGACAAAGCUGGUUUCACAACACCCUGCUUCUAUUUCUCAUUUCACGAAAGUCCUUUAGCAUGACCUUGGGUGAAAUACAUCAUCUCAGAUGUCCAAAGAGUUAGCUCUGACGGUCUCUGGAGGAAUUUGAGAAGUGUGAAGGUUGGAAAUGAAUCAGUUAUGCAUCAGCUACAUUUUAUACUCUUGUCCUGAGAGUAAAGCAGUUAUGGACUGGGCUCCUGGUUCCAGAAUGACAGGUAAUACCUGUAGCUAAAUCACAUCAGUGUAGUAAGCUUGCAUGGGAAUAAGAAAUCAAGCACCUUACCUGAGAUCUCUGAUGUAUUUGCUGGAAACUUUUGGAAACAAAAACUUUAGCUGGGCUAUGAUUUUAUUUUUUUAACAAAAAAUAAGAGGUUAGUUAAAAUGUUAUUUCUGUCCCUUUGCUGCAUUAUAUUUUAUCCCAUUCUUAAAAACUGGCAAGCAAAGACUAUGAACACUGCUGUUUGAUAGUGUUAGAAAGUCAAGCUCUAGCAGCAGUAUUGUCUCUUCCCUUGUGUCACUCUUUGCUGCUGUCAAAAUAAUAACGUGCACAUUUAAAUCAUUCUGGAUCAUAUUGAUGUUCUGUAGGCUCAAGCCCUUGUGAAACAAAGUGAAGAGUUCUUGUUUGUAAUGGGCUCUGUGCAGCUAAACUUUCUUUGCCGAGUUCAUCUGUCAACUGCCACUUACACUCACAGCUGUUCUUUGAGGACACUGAAUUGCUUGCUGCCUGAUUUGUUUUUACCCUUUUGUGACACAAAUGAGUUCGUGGCUGUGUGUCUUACCUGUGAUUUUCCAAAUGGCAAAUGCAACACUUCAGUUUGUAAUUUAAGGUCUAGUGGGCAAGAAGCUUGGUGAAAAUGAGCACAAUAACAGCUGCUAUUCAGUACUAGCGUUUCGUUUCAAAGAAAUACACUGAAUUUAUCUACACAAUUUCUUUCUAGUGAUGUGUUCCAAAUAUGCAAUGGAGACAUCUUGGGAAUGUUUAUGAAGAGCUCAGUGCAAAUUUCACACUACCACACAUAUGCACAGUUGCACAAGGGAAGAGUAUUGCUCUAUUUCUUCCCCAUUACAAAAGGAAGGGAGAGUAAAUAUUCUGAUGCCAUUAUACAAGCCAGCGCUGUGUGCUUUUCUGAAGUACUGUGUUUAGUCUUGCUUUAUAUAAUUUUUAUUUUUUAUUUUUUCACUUACUUGAAGGUUGUGGUUAGGAAGUUUCUUUAUACGAAACUAUAUUUCAUGACAGUCCUGGGUUAAUAGCUAAAAACAUGACUAAGACUAGUAUAGUAUUAGCAAAUCUUAGGUGCCUUUCUAUUCACUAUGAGUUCCUGAUUCCUUUCUUCCUGUGAUACGUUUAUGCAGCAAGUUGCUGUUGCCCUUACAGAAUGCUUCUUUUCUACUGUCUCCUUAUAUUUUCAUAUUUUGUUUUAAAAACUGAAGGAACAGAUUUAGCAAAUAGAGAUGCAUGUAUCUUGUUAAAAAGACAAUCAAUACACUAGAGGUAAUGAUUUUACUGGGAAAUUUAAUGUACAAAAUAACCAUUUUGUCCAAUUGUGUAGUCUGAAAACACAAUUUUUGUCUGUGAAAAGGGGAAAUUGCAAAUAAGCUGGUAUAUUUUCUUAUGUCAGUAAAUGAACACAGUAAAAUUGUUUCCAUGGCAGAAUGGUGAGAAAAAAAAAAAAAAAAAGACUGACACAAACCCUCAUUUUUAUUUCUCUGGAAUGAUCAUGGUAAACUAUCUUAAUCUAUACUGUGGUUAAUACUGGAUUAUGCUGUCAGGUUUGAGAAACUGGAAAGUGUGAAUACUGGAAAAUAUGGCUCAACGCCAGAGAAAGCAAACACCAUGAGUGUCCUCCAGGAACCCUGUCAGACUCCCAAGUUCUUAGUUUGAAGUUGGUUUUUGUUUUCAGAUGUAAUGCCUUUUACGGUGACAAAUUCUUAGCAGUAAAACAAAACCAGCCCAUUCAGUAGUGGGAAAAUUUUUUCAUAAUGAUUACGUUAGAUUCUCCCAUGACUUGUUGGUCUUAAGGCCAGUUAAGUUGUGAAGAUCAGUGUUUAUCUCAGUUGGUAGGGAAGGAUGUGGUUUGCCCAUUAUUGUCCCCUUAAUCAUUCCCCAUCACCACUGUAUUUUGUGUUGUCUUAGUUUUAUAAUUUCUUGGAAGUGACAACCUAGGUGUGGCUGGAAUUUCUUGUCCCAGGAAGGAUUCUUCACAGCCAGCUGAGGCUGCACUAUACUGCCUAAAACCUAUUUAUUGUCACAUUUAAGAUAAUGAACAUAAGAAAGAAGACUGGCCAGCAAUCAGUUUGGCAGGUCUUGCUUCAUAUUUGUUGUAAAGUCUAGGAUCUGAGUGCUUUAUCCAUGUAGUUUGUCUGUUGUAACCGAUUGAUUCAGGGUGUUCCUAUGUGUGUGUAUAUAUAUAUGAACGUGUGUGUGUGUAUAUAUAUGUAUAGAUAUUCUUAUAUAUAAUGUAUAAGAAUAAUAAGAAGAAUCUCAAAAUAAGAGUGAUGCUAGAUUGAUUGUUCCUCUGAUUUUAGUCUUCUAGGAAGAGUAGUUGCAUGAUCUGUGCAGGAAAGCCAGUGUUUCCCUUCACUAUCUCCUCUGCAAACAGAAGAAAAGUCAGCCUAUGUUGUUACUGCUUUUCCACCAUUGCUGGUAGGUAGGAGCAGAAAGUUUUUGCAAAACAUCUGUAGUUAAGUUAGUACAGCAAGAAAUGAGUAGAAAAGAAACCAUGUGCCUGCAAAAAGAUUGGUAGGGCUUACUUGUCCAUCUAUAAGCAUAACCUGUGUAUUGUACAUCUUGGAAUCAGAAUCUGAUUGCUGUUCUGUUAAACUGGAGCUUAAGAAGAAAAAAUGUUUUUUGAUGUAACGCCUGUAAAGUCCAGGGUGACUGUAUUAUUAGUCAUUACUAGACAUAAUCUUCCAAGUAGACUUAAUCUUCACUAUUAGCAUCUUAUGUCUGCAGGUGGUAGUCCAACUUUUAUACCUCUAAGUAGGAAAUGCUUAUUGACCUUGACUAACAGAAGUGUACCACAAACAAGUUGCGGUGCUCCUUUAUAGGACCUGUACUGAAUCUGGGGCGUGGAUUAUCUCCCACUCAUCAUCAGUCCAAGUAGGUUACUGAGGCUGGGAAUUGCCUUGGACCAUGUCCUGUAAUCUCAUGACAACAACAGAAAACCUGUCAAUCCCAAAAACUAUUGAAAAAGGACUUCUCAAAGCAAUCUAUGGUUUUUCCUCCAGCAUAUUCGCCUGCCAACCAACACAGCCUCUGUUUAAGAUGUUUCCAAACAAGCUUUUCAUGUUUAUUAGACUUAGAGAAGAGAUCAUGCUGUACAGCUACUGAUUUUCUUUCUUGGCUCUCAGUGGUAAUUCCAUCUCUCCUAGCAGGCUGCUCAGUCUUAGAAAGUAUUUCUUUAAUGUUUCUACUCCCACUCAGAUUUUUAAGAGAUGUCUAAAGCUGUAGCUGCUCCAAAGGAUGAGUAAGACCAUGACUCUGUUGGUUGGCUGGACUUUUUAAUGUACUCCAUGUAGAAGUAAGAAAAACAUUAAAAUGUGCUUUAGUGUUGACAAGCUUAGCUAGCAAGGAGAGCAAGAUUGGGCUGUAUGAAUUCCUUGGAGGUCUACAAAGAACCAAACAAAAACCUUCUGGAGAAAAAUAACUUUGCUAUAUUUGUUGUUGUUUUGUCACUUCUGUUGUGCACAAACUGAAGAAUGUGAGAUAGUGGGGAAAUGCUGGGUGAGAUAGACUUCUGAGAUAAGUGGUGAAGAGUUGGGUAUAUUUUUGCUGUAAUGCCACCAUAUGUACCACUGCCACUGGGAAGGCCGUGUCCCAGGCACUUUGCACCCCUGUUACCUCAAGUAGCCAGCCAGUGUAGGAAAGAGAACUGAUACUUAGAAUGGGAUGAGAUUUCUGUACAAAUCGUGAGAUAGGAAAAAGAAGGAAAAAAUCAGAGAACAUGGCUAAUCACAGUGCUUUUCUCAGUGCUAAAGUUGUGUUUCAGCCUUUGCAUCUCAAGCAUACACUCACAUUCAAUUACAGUUGAAUUUUUAUUUCAGAUGCUACUCUGCUAUUUCAUCUGACUUGCUGAGAGCCACUGUUAAUAUGGGGGUUUAGUAAAAGAGAAGUGACCUUUAAACCUUGCUUACAGGAAUAAUUAUUAUCAAGAUUUCUGUUUAUUUAUAAUUCUGGACCACAGUGUUCAUGACGUUUCUCUGGCUUUUUUGAUCUGUUGGCCUAAGAUGGAAGGAGAACAAAUUAUUCUGGAUUAUUUCUAUGCAGAGCAGCAACCAUUUCACUCCUCUAAAGGCUCCCUAGAGAUAUUUUGCCACAUAAGCUUUAUUCUGUGUGACCCCAUUCAAGGUGUAAACUAAAUAUAUAAUGAAUUAAUAAGUAUAAUUAAUCUUUUUUGAUUCUUGGGAAUGAGAUUUCCUUCUCUCUACCUCACUGUUUAUGCCUCCUUUUUAUGCAUAAAGCUGUAUCACGUAGGUAUUUCUGUGAAGGAGCGGGGCCAUAUGUGUCAAAGAGAGGGCUCAGCAAGAGCAAGAGAAUCAGGCUGCUGUAAGUUCACUCCAGACACAGCCAGUUAGUCCCUGUUAAAUAAAUCUCUAACUAUGGAGACAAUGAGGAAUUCUGUGGGAGAAAAAAAACCUCUUUCAGCUGUGCCUCAAUUCCUGCAGAGAGGAGGAUUUAAUGCUUUCAAUGGGAAGGUCACCAACUAUAUUUCCCUAAGUGAAUACAUCAGCUGGUUUGGAAGAUAACACUUCACUAGUUGUUAGUGAUUGUUCUCCUUGCAGGACUAGCUAUUAUAUAGAGCUCAGCUUGUUCUUCAGUUAGAUCUAAUUAGUUCAUGUUCAUUCUAUGUCCUACUCACCAGUGUGUUAACUUACAGCCCUGAUUCAUUAAAGUCAUAAUUGGUCAUCAUAUUUAUUUAACUGAUAAGUUAUUUUCCAUAGUAAGUGAAUAUACUUAGCUAGUAUUGGCAGAAAAAUUGUUAAUCUAAUUAAAGUGACACACAUCUGAGGCUUACAGGCUUAGUAGGAUUGUGUAAUGGAUUAAGGAGUAAGGUCUUUUAAAGCAUACUGCUAACCUUGGUCACACUCGUUUCUACAGUGUAACCUCCUUUUUAUCAGAUGAAAAUAUCAAAAACAAACAUACCCGCAGAUCAGAAUUACUAGCCCAGGCAAACUGCAGCUAACUUCUUUUAACAUAGAUAAGAAAAACUGUUUUAAUAUUUUAUGUCAGUAUUGGCCAUAGGCUGCUUAUUCCUUUGUUUAAUGUGUAUGAACAUUUUUCCUCUUGUUUCUCUCGGAGUGCUGGAUUUUACUGUCACUUUCAUGAAGAAAGUUAUUUUUAUUUAUUGAGUACUUUAUAUAGAAACAGGAUAUUUAUACUUAGUUAAAUAAAAACUUCAGAUAUCUAUAUCUGUGGAAAUAAAAUAUGCAUGCCUUGUAUUACAACAAUCACUGUUUUGAUGUGUGUAAUAUAAACACUGGAGCUUUAUGCAAUGAAAAAAGAAAUAUUAAGAUACUUAAUUUUAUUUUGCAGCUUGCAUUUUAAUUUUUAUGGUGAGUUGCUCUUCUCAGAAGGAAAACAGUGGAAAUCAGAUGGCAUGGUUCCUCAAGGCCUGCCAUAAUUGCAAUACUCACUUUAUUUUGUUGCAGUGCUGCAGCAGGAGCAUGUUUUAAAGAAACAUUGGCCUAGACUUUUCUCAUCAAAAAGCACCACCUAGUGUUAGUUAUUCACAGUUUGGCUGAAAAUACAAAGAAAAAUGAAAAAAAAUUAAUAAUCAGAAUUUGACUUAAAAAUAAAUAAAAAUAAUGACAGCGGCUGAACAAGUUGCAGUUGGUUCAUGGGACUAGUGUUGUAUAAAGCUAUAGGUGUACAGUAACAGGGCAACUCUAGGGUUGUCCCAAAAUGUUUUGAAUCAGAUCUCACCAUUACAUAUUUUUGAUGUCUAGCAUUUCAGUGUGGGCAGAAAUCUUUCUUUGUGACCUAGGUUUAGGUGAGGUGAAAACGAACAUUAGGGAUUUGCUGUAGAAAGGGGAUAUUUCCUUUCUUAUAGCUCAUGUGGCUGUGGUUAGGACUGCGCAGGAUGGGGUAUCUGGAUCUCUCCCCCGCCUCAGUGAGCAUUUUAUACACAUCCCUGUGAAGCAUUUCAUGCAGAGUAUAAGAGUUUCAGCAGAGACUACUGAGAAAGAGUUGUCAUUGUGUUCCCUGUAACCCCUCUAGCCUGGGGGUUAGAACAGCCUCUCUGAUGUGGGUGAAGGCUCUUUGUCAGGAUUUAGCUAACAGGGAAAACAGGCAACUUUCUGCUGACAGAGCUCUCAGGUUAAGUGAAUGAUUCUCAGAGUUGCAAAGAACUCAUCUCACUAGAAGCUCUGGAUGUAAUAUCUCAUGAUGAAUUGUUAAUACAUAAAGCAUGUACUGGUGGCUGGUGUAAGGAAAGGUCUUAAACACCCAAUAACAAACACAUCAUACUUAUUUCCUUUGGGAAAAUGACAGGACUGUGUUUGAAUUUUAGCUGGCAGAAGGAUGGGAUAGUAUUUAACUUGCCUGAUGUGUUUUGAAUCUAUAAUAUUUAAUAUAUAGCAGAAUUUUAAUUUGCAGGCCGUGGGGACCAAACAGAUAUAUAGCAAUGAUGGCAAAGAAUCUAAUCUAAAACUCAUUGGGAAUCUAGGAAACAUUUUCAGCAACUGCUGGAGAGUUUGGAUCUGUCCAAAAUUAAUCUGUUUGAUUAAGUAAAGUAAACCAUGUUCUGAAGAAAUCAGAGACGCAUAAAGAAAGCGCUGGCUCGUAGCCAGGGAAGCCUUAGCAGAAUUCUGCAGAGAAUUUAUAUCUUGUCAAGUUGAAAUGAAGUCUAAAGUUUUAGAGAACCAGAGAGUUAUUUUUCAUACACGGCAAGAUUUUGGUUCUAGAGAAAAAAGAUGGAAUGAACUGACAAAUGUUCUAUAGAAUCCCAACACAAUAAAUGAACAAAACAAAAGAGAACUGAAAAGAAAUGAAAUACAAUGGUUUGAGAACCAGAGACAGGAGAGGUGUGAAAAGCAUCUGAAUCAUGGAGGAAAGUCUGAAGAGUGACGAAAGUUUGUGAUUUACUGAUAACAGUGAAAUUCAAAUUGAUUGGAGACAGUAGUGAUGAGUUGGUUGUUAUUUUUAAGUUUUCUGUGAUAACUGUUGCUUUUGAAUCAUACAGUUUAGAGCUGUAAAACUUCAGAUGCACUGAGCAUGUAACAGACUAGUUGAAAAAACACAUGAAAACAAGUUUAUUGUUUUGGACGAAAACAAAAUGGAACCACAGCACUAAAAUGUGAUGUUUCCAUUAAGUUUAGUUUAUUUGUUUUAUAGUGAAAUGUUAUCUUUUAGGGAAGAGGAGAAAAUGGAGUAAUGUUCUUUUCUAGUAAAGUUUUGUAUCUGCUGCUAAUCCAUACUUUAUUAAGCUGAAAGAUUCAUUAACUGCCUCUUGGAGCAGUUUUUGGAGCUGUUCCUGAAACGUUAAACUUGAACAGUACAACAUGGCCAUGUUUUCAAUUUUGGUGAGUUGAGCCUCGAUCUCCCAAUUAGAGCAGCUUCCUUAGCUCUCCUGCUACAGAAAUCAAAAGGUUGCAUCACAAUCGUAGAUGUCUUUAAAUUUUAGUUUGUUUCCAACAUAGCAAAAAAGACCUUAAAACAUACGAGCUUUAAACACGUGAACUCAGAAGAUAUAUGGAAUACCUGUCCCAAAACUGUCAUUAUAUUUAAGACGAUUUCAUGAUUUUUUUAGCUGUAUGUAUGUUCUUGGAAUAUUGGGGUCGUUUAAUGUGUGCAGGUGGAAGAAAAAUUACAGUAUGCUUUCUGCUUGCCUGGAAGCUCCAUUCUUGCAGUUGAAUUUUAUAUAUAUACAUGCAUACUUACUACUGAUUUACUAUCACUAGACAAAUUUAUUAUCAGAGUUCUUUGAUAUCUUUAUCUAUAAAUUAUUAAAAUAUUAUUAUUAUUAAAAUAUCUAUUUUUCCGUUCUCGUAGAAAGAGUCCAUGGACCUUAUAGAUGCUUGAUAGCCCAGAUUGAAAACUACGGGUUUAAAUGUAAAUGUUUGCGGUUACAUAAUAUGAACAGCAGAUGGCAGUAGAAGGACGUUGGAAACAUUUCCCUUCAUAUGCUAUUCUGCUUUUGAUUCCGUACGCUGGGAAAGUGAAGGCCGAUAAAACUGCUUUGUCUCAGUUGUCUAAAAAUGUUGAUUAGAAGGAAUAGAUAUUCCAGCCAGUGAAGCAUGAUCUUCUAUUGAGGAAGGCUCAGGAUUUCAUGGAUAGUAGGUUUUGAGAAGAGUUGAAUUAGAAAUUGUCUCAGCUGUCUGUUUAAACUUGCAGAUGCAAAAAUAAGAUUUGUAAUGCAUUAGUAGCUGUAUUAAUAUUAGUGAGAGACUGCAGACCCUGUUAGCCACAGUGUCAGGAAAAAAUGAAACAAAUGAAACAAUAGUAGCAUGUCUGCUCUGUGCAUGGGAGUACUGUGAAGAGGUGCCUGAUCUGGCACUGCCCAGGCUGCACAAAGUAAAUGACACAGGCUGUAUGUGGGUCGCUCUGAAAGUAAUGCCUCCUAUUCAUUUCCAUCAAAACUACAACAAAUAUAAAGAGCACAGUAGUGCUAUUUGAUAGAGAAAAUUCUCAGCUACAAAACAGUGUUUUUCAACAGUCACCACCGUUAGCCGGUUUGCAUAGAUAAGCUGAUCAAGAGACAUUGUUCAUUUUGUGGUAUGACAUCUGUGCAUGGACAUCCAAAAUGUGGUUUGUCUUUCACAUUGCUGUUGCUACUGCUGAAAUGCACCACCCACCACCUCACUGUGCUCGCAUCCACUGUUUGGUCUCCAGAAAUGUUCAGCAAGCAUUCAUGAAUGUCAAUUAAUGCAGUUUUUUCCUCAUGAAGGAAUUAAAUUCCACAUCUUUGCUAUACCCACACUUCCCCUCAUUUUGUCAGACUGCCCCUCUGCUGCCAUCAGUUGCACAGUGAUAAAAUGUGGUGGAAUAUUGGUGGGAAGAUUCAACCUCUACUGCCAUACCACCAACAUCCACCUGAGAUGAUGUGAGCCAAGAUAAGAAAAUAGGAGGCAUUAUUUUCGGAGCAGCCCUCACACAAUGGCAUCCGAUCAGUUGUGGAAGCAGCAGAUGUUAGCCUGGAAGGACUGAUGUCACUAGAGCAUUUCUGCAGAUUGGCUUCAUCUCACAGCAUUCUGCUGCACAGCAUGCAUGAAAUUUGCUGUGUGCUUGUGCUAGAGGAGCCUGGUAACUAGCAGCUAUCUGAAAGAAUUAGAUUCAUCUUCAGUCAACAAGAUGCUUUCUAUCAGUGAAAGUUUGAAAAAGACAAAGUGAUAUUUGCUAAGUUAUUCUCAACAUCCAGUUGGAAAAUGUUUUCUCAUUCAGUGCUGUUCUUUUCAUUUCAUGUUGCAAGAGAUGCUUCCUUAAAGAAAUGCAGAAGAGGUUGACAACCUCAUUUAAUUUUUGUUACAGCCGAAACAAUUCCACUGCCCCAGUUCCCAGCCUCAAGCCAAAAGUGAAAAAAUGUGUUUUUCUGUGCAUCCGAAUACAUUGUGGCUGCAGAUUUUAAUCAGUUGGAGUAAACACUAGCCUAAAAUUGUGUUCAGUAUUGAAAAAAUAAUCGGAUAGCUCCAAAGAACUAAGAGAUUAUUAUGAAGGUUUCAAUUAUGCUGAAUUUUGACCAUGAAUUAAUACAGUAGCUUUUGACAGAUGUAGUCAUACACUGAUGUAUGUGUCUGAAUGCAUAGACAUAAAUAUGCUAGUAUACACCUUGAUGUGGAGAGUACUGAUAUAUUAAUAGCAAACGUGAAAAGGUCUGCAAGGUGUUCAUAUAAAACUAGUAGCAAUGCCUAAUUGGCAACAUCUUUUCAAAGGAGACAUCUGGAGACAGUAGAAAGUUACCUUGACUCUAAAGCAGCAUUUAAGAUCUCUGUUUUACUUAACAGAUGGCAGACAGAAAGCUGUGUGAGUAAGCCUGAAUUGCAGUGCCUAGUAACCCGUUUUGUUACGUUUGGAAGACCUUGAUAGAGGUCUGAAAGCUCAUUUGAUGGCAGUGAGACUAGGUGAUGUCUUCGCUAAGGUAUAAUAGAGAAGACAUUUUUCAACAGCAAGUAACUAGGCCAAUUCUGAAUGUAGCCACUGGUGUACGGUUGAUGUACAACACUCUCUCCUUUCCAGAAAACUUUAUCUAGGCUAACCUCAAGCUGUAGGGACUUGCAUCUCUUAUAGUUGGUGUACUGCUUCAUAACUGCAUAGUGAGAAAGUGAAAUUCUUUUCUUUUAUUUCCAUUGUAUUGAAUGCCAUAUUUGACUAGAGGAUGGAAACAGCUGACUUCUGAUCUCCAGUGAGCCAUUCCUUUUUCAUAAUUUAUUUUUCAUGUUAAACAGUCACUUUUGGUGCAUAAGGAAUGAGAAGAGCCAAAGAAAGCAAGCCCCUUGUCUUUUUUGUUUUGUUUUGUUUUGUUUUCAUUAAAUCAAGUGCUUCUUGACAGUUCUGCACAGAAACUUAUUACAUUCACCAUUCUUUAUUUUUUCCACCUGGCUGUAAUAGAAUUGAUAUUGAGGUGCUUAGGGACUGAAUAGGGAGAAGAAGUAAAACCUGAUUUGCUGCUCAACACUCCAUUUCCACUUUGAUUUAUCACACUGGUUUUACUCUUUCUAGCAUGAGCAAAGCUGGGUCUGCUAAUUGAUUAUUGUCAAAGGUUUAAUAUUUUUUGAAGCCACUGUUACUAGAUGGAUCUAUUAUCCUUGUGGCAGAGAAAUGUAUGCUCUAAAUUGUUGGUAAUCUUUAUUAAAUGUGAACAACUGUCUUCAGUUUGAGGAGCAGUAGCACUAGGCAUGGAAUGAUCCCAUAAUAAUGGAAAAAAGGAAAUUAUGGGAUCAUUCUAUGGCUAGUGCUACUGCUUGAACAAUUAGAAAAGUUGUGUAGCUGUUUAGGAGACUUCAUUUAAUUUAAAAAAAAUAAGGAGGUAAUUCUUCCCUUUUGUACAAAAAAAAAAAAAAAAAAAAAAAAGAAAGGCUAAUCUUUCCAUGUUCCACUCAACAGCUUCCCACAUUCAAGACUGUCACCACUGCCUUUUGGUAUCUUUCAUUACUGUCAUAGCAUAUAGGUAGUCUGAAUAGCAAGGGUUAUCUUCUGCCUUUUCUUUAUUUUUAUUCUCUGUUUCUUAUUCUGAGUUCUGCAUUAAUGUGUCCACAGCUCUGGGCAACGUCAUGGGCCUGCUAGAUGAUAAGAAAGGGCAUUGGAGUCAUAGCAAAUGAGACAAUUCAGUAUAAAACCUAAUGAAAAGAAACAGAGAUGGACAAACAAUAAUUUCAUGAAACAGUUUUGCAUUCAGUGUUCCUUCAGAUCAAUGUUCUCUUUGGUCUGCUUUUGAGUUUCAUUGACCUCUGUUGGAUCAAUAGUCUGACAAAGACAUGUACAAGCUAACACAUCUACAAAAGCAAGCUAACCAAAAUGCUCCAGAGCACAGCAAACUCAACACAGUAUUCUUGCCCUUAAUAUCUGAAUUUGCAAGGUCCUCUUUUCAUUUAAAAGACUGCAUUGACAUUAUUUUGGCAAUAUGAAGAUCUGAAAAACUUUUAUAAGCAUUUGCUGCUCCAGUCAUGGUCAUCAUCAAUAAUAGGUAUUGCUUCUGUUUUAUAGAUGGUGAAAAACAUGUGAUUUAAGACCCUUUCUAAGGCUGCAUUAUGUAAUUGCAAAGCCAGGCCAGAACAUCAUAUACCUAACACAAGUAACUUUUUAUUUAUAUAAUAACUGUCCAUUUCUCACAGUAUAUCUUCUAUUUUAAGUAAUUCCAAUGAUAUCAGUAGCUUGGUGUUAUAAUUAAGGAGGUAUUAAAGUACAGAAAAAAAUCGGUUUGCAACAUGUAUUUUUAUUUUCUCUGUCAUUUUGUCUCUAUUUGGUGUAAAAAGUCUUUAUUUUGUACCAACUGUACCCCAGACCAUAAUGAAUCAUGAAAUUUCUAAACCACGACAACAGGAAUCUGAAUGGCCCACUCAGCCUUGUUAGUUUGAGUAUAAUAGUUUAAGUAAGAACUUCUUUGCAUAACUAGAAGAAAAUAUGAAAAAUUAUAUAAACAUGUAAGAUAUGUUUGAGUUAGCCUCUGAUGAAAAAAAGGGAAAUAAAAGACCAUAUGUAUUUUCUCAAACUCCUUGAAGAGAGCAUAGUUACUGCUUAUCUGCAAUUUACCAAAUAGGGGAAGGGAGAUUAACCUUUUCACAUCUGAAAAAUCUUUGUUUUUCCUCAAGAUUUUUCAUGCUGAUCCUUAUAUUUGCAUUUAGAAUAUGUUAGUUAACAAUUCAAGAUUUUAAUACUCAAAUAUGUUUACAUAUACAAUAUCAUUGUAGUAUCUUCACGGGAAAAAAUGCAUAUAACAUUUCUUCAAGCAGCCACCUUGACCAGUGCUUUAGAUAGUGUUAACUAGGUCAAGGCAGGAGUGUUUGCCUGUGCAGAACUAUUGGCCUCUGAAUAUCAGUGGGGGAAAAAAAAUAAAAAUUAAAAAAAUUAAAAAAAAAAAUUAAAAAAGCCUUUCUGUUGAUGACAAGGAAGGUGAAUUUGGGUGAAAGUUAUGAAUUCAGGUUACACUGCUAACAUAGCAAAUCCAAAUAGAGAUGGGUGGGCAGGUACCUUUGAGUGGAACGUGAGGUGUUCAUUAACUCCAUGGCAAGGUGGGUAUGAUAAAACCUGGCACAGAGCCUUGUAAGGGAUACCCCCUUAAAAAGCACAGGCCAGUGUCUCCCAUGCAAGGAGGGAAUGAUGGAGAUGUACCCUUUGAUACUCAGCAGUGCCUGAAGUAUCACUGUGAAAUACAGCUUGAUGUUAGCUCUGCAUUUCAGAUACUCACUUUGAAUUUUCUGCUAGAGGGAAAAAGUCAUAGCAGAUAUUCCUUCUGGAAUUGUGUGUUCCUUUCUUUAUCCUGUUUUCAUGUCUUAGCAUGGCAAGGACUUCCAAUAGUGCAGUUCUUUAAAACUCUGCCAUUUAAUGCUCUUAUUUGUCAUGCCCCCAGGGUGUUAGCCAUAAGCACGCUGGUUUCUCAAUAAUAAGUCUGAGAUUCUUCAUGCAUUUCUGCCAAACUCAGUUAAAAAUGGAUGAUAUUUAGAGCCUUGGACAGGUAAAUAGCUAUCAUUAUCAACUGGAAUGAAUCAAAAUGCCUUGAGGGAAUGAUUUUGCAUAUGUUUGCAUUAAAAUCUGAAGAUGUUAGAAUUAUUCAUGAUCUCUGUCAUGGAACUACAUGGAGGGUGCAUGUAUAUCUUUACUGUGUUAAGGUGGGUAACAUAAAUACUUUUGAAUGACUGAAGCUGAAAAGUCUACUCUAGCUAUUGUGACUUGUGUGUUUUGACAACUCAGCCCUUCCAGGAGCUUAGUGUUGUGUUAUCUAGCUUGGGAACUAUAUGGUAUUUUAUAAAGAAAUAACAAAUUAUUCCAAUUCUUAGUCAAACAAUUUUUAUGAAAAAUGUUACAUUUCUGAUAAUUGAAUAACAUUGCCAGCCGUUAGAUGUUAUUAAUUGGAUGAACAUUCUCAUUUUCUUAUUUAUGAUCAGCGACAUCACACCAUACGUAACACUGAAAUACAUUUGCAGUUUUCAUUAAUUAAAUAUUUACUAAGUUAGAUGGUUGGUUUGAGUUUUGGGUUUUUUUUUUUUUGCGGGGGUGGGGGAGGUUUUUUGUUUGUUUUGUUUUUGAAUAAUUGUUUACUUGUUUUUGUUUUGACCAAGACUACUGUGGAGGGGAAGAAAAAAAUCCUGCAAUAAAUUCUAUAUUUUGUAGCCAAUGACUUUUCUGUGUACCAAAAGAUUAAUUGUGCAGUUAGAUGAAAAGAAACUGAAAGGAAGAAUGAAAAAUGUAUAUCAAGAAUAGUCAGGUUAAUGUAUCCCGGAGCUAAAUUUCCAAUGUAAAACCAAUACUGUGCAUUGAUAGCACCUAAGACUAAUGCAUGUGCCAGAGAAAAUUAUAUUGCAAUAUGCCUUGAUUGCCAUCUGCUUGAUUUUAAUUAAUUUUCUUAAUUGGAGAACAAUGCAUUUUCUAAUUACACAUGAAAACACCACUAGCUAUUGCAGAGUCUUUAUCUACUGCACAAACUCUCUCAGUAGACCCACUGCCUGCCUAAUUUAUACAGACCUUGUUUCAGUGAGCACGAGCUGUUUGGCAGGCUCUUGACAAUUACUCAAACUAAUCACAUGUGAAGGAACAUUCUAAACUUGUAAUUUAGAUGCAAUAAAAUUCUAACUGUGAAUAACUCAGCUCAUACAGAUACCAGGGUGAAAUGUCCACUAGAAAUGUAAUUAGAAAGCAAUACAGUUGAAGCUAGAAUCAAAUUCCAAGUGAAAUGUAACAUCUGAAUAAGUGCUUUGGAGAUAAUAGAUGUGACCACAAGAAUGGAAAUUAGUUACCUUAGUUUAGACCAAAAAGGUAGUGUAAUAUAAAAUCAACACAGCAGGUGAAUAAUCAAAUAUUUAAGCCACACAAUCAAAACAUCAAUCCCAGGGGACAAAUUUAUUCUGCUUGUAGCUCAAUUGAGAUCUAACUUAGUUACAGCCAAAAUAAAAUUGGCUCACUGAUUUAAACUAGACUUUCUUCACAUUAAUGUCCCUGUUUUCUUCAACGUAAUGGAAUAAAUCCAUCAAGGUAUGUCUCUCUUGCAGCUUAAUCUUUUCUUGGAUAUUGUCCAUCACAGUUCAGUAAGGUACUCCUUCAGAGAUUUCUAUUUAUCUGGCUGAGGUUUGAGAGAGUCCUAAAUAAGAGCUUGGUCCUUAUCUGAGUUAUCACUUGCUUCCCUUUUGCAAGAUUAAUUUUAUGCCAGCUGUUUGCCUUUUUAUAAAAUGGGAUCCCAUUUAGCUUUAUUACUUGAAGCUGUCUUCAAGGGCAAACUGUAAAAAAUGGACAGUUCCCAGGCUGGGAAGAGGAGGCAGUGGUUCAAAGACAAAGAAUGGCAAAAAUUUCCUCUUCACCUUGGAGGAACAUACUUUGCAACACUGCAGGAAAAUAGUUCCCUUAUGAAUACAUGAUAUCUAGUUAUACUGAUGCAUUUUCUAUAUUGUCUUUGAGAACAAAUUUGCUAAGAGACAUCUUUCUAGAGUUCUGAAUUCUAUGCUGUAGUAAUGUCUGAUUUCAAUAGCUGUUCCUAAUUUUGGCAUUUUAAGGAAGAUACAAAUGUUUUACCACAUAUGUUAGCAUUUCCCAAUAGAGAAAUUUCAGUCAACAUAAAUAUCGUACUUGAAUAUGUAAACAUGAAAAUGAGGCUACUGAUAAACUUUAUACUUCUGAAAAGACAGUUGUUUGUUAAUUAACAUGCAAUAACUUUCACUGAGUGUAUAAUAGUACAUCUACUAGCAGUGUUUAUUGUACAUCAUUAAAACCAGCUAGAUCAAUAACUAUGUUUUUCAGUUUCUUAGCUGUGUAAGAAGAUAUGAAUCUAAAAUGGGGCAUCCCUAAAGAUGUUUUAUCAAUCAUUAAGAAUUUUUUUAAUUUAAAAAUUCUAAUCAUCUUUUAAACUUCGGCAUAAAUCCUUUUAGAGGCACCAGACUGGGUUUACUUCAUGUUUCUGCAUGUUUCUUUACUGAAAGCAAUCAAGUUGCCUAGUAUCGCUUUGACUAUUAUGCUACAGCUGCACAGAAAAGUAUGGCCGAGUUCCUCUGUGUGGCUGCUUAUAAAAGAUAAAUUUUAAGGCUUACUGAUGAAUAAUCACACCUCUUUAUGUUUUUUUUUUUUUUCAUUUUUAGUUAGUGGCUAGAAAUUCCAGGUUCCCUUGGCAGCUUUACCAAUGCUCCUUAUUCUCAUCCCAUGAAUGUUCCAUUUUAACUCUAUUGUUCAUGUAAAUACUGGUGACGUAAUUUUCUAAAGAGUGAGACCUGUUUCCAAAUCAGAAAUAUUUCCAACGAUCAAACAGCAAAAACUGUUUUAUGUAGUAUUUCUGUUCAUGAAGUAUAGAAGCAACUCAGGAGGAUUUAUUACCCUAGUUCUAAUCAUGUGCCUCGUGCACCACCAAGAACUGGGAAGAUACUCAAACUCUCUCUUCUCUACUAACUAAAGAUUUCAGUCCAAGUGUAUUACAUGCAAGUUAAAGAAGGCUUUAGUGGGACUCUGUUAGCUGAUUUAAAUGUUCAUUAGAAAUUAUCAUGCCUCAUUUGACUUACUGUUAAUAUAAGUUUCAAUUAGUUGAUAACAUUUAAACAAAAAUUUUAAAUAUAUAAGAAAUUGACUUCCUUCAUUUUUCCAGUAUAAUCUCAGUCAGUCCAACUCCUCCAUAUGGAGCACAGCUCCAUGGACAUCUUCUCUGUAGCUCUUUUUCUGCCCUGAGUACACGCUUUCAGAUCUGUAGCUUCUGUACCAACAUGCCUCAGCAACUGCUGGCCAAAGGUGGCAGUCCUGCCUCCUACCUUGCCUGAGCUUUGCCACUUUCUUGGUAGGCAAAGAGUGAAUGCUGAAGUUUUGCCACGUCUGUUGUGAGGGAGUCUGGAAGCUCUGUUAGUCUGACUCCCUUAUGUGCUCUGCUGCAUUGGUGUAAUAGACUAUAUACGUAGCAACAGAAGGAGAGUUUUUAACCUAUUAAGCCUACCUUGACAACAUCCCUUAGCAAAAUAAUUUCUGCUUACCACUGAGGCAAUUCUACACUAUCAAGAAGUGCCAAGCCUGAAUAUCACAUCGGGAAAAGAACUUUAUAUGAGAAGGUAGGUGAAACUCAGGGCAUGAUCAGGUUUUUGUUCUGAGACCUUCUUAAACUUGUUUAUCAGUGUGCUGCAAAGGCUUAUUUCAUAAAACUUUCAAAUUCAAAGCAUUCUAUACAAAACUAUAAAUAAAACUGAAGCCGAAGGCUAUGCUCUUUGUACACUUAGACUUUUUAACUGCAUUCUUUGUAGCAAUACUCUUCAGAAAGAUAGAAAUAAUUGAAUUUAAGGGAAUAGAAUUGUGUUUAAGAUGGUCUAAGUUUGAAUGCUGGAUAUAAGUAGAUAUUAUCUCUGCUUCCAGUCUACUAAUUUUCUUAAUUUAGAAAUAUAGCCAAUGAUCACAUUGUCUCUGACAAACUGGUCAAGAUCUUGCUAAGUAUAAGUACACAGACUGACUGGGCACUUCUCUUGAUCUAAAGAAAGUGGACAAUACAAUCCAUGUGAUGUGUAUUGUGCUUCGCUUUCUUCCCAGAAAAAUGACACAGGUAUGCUUGGGAUACCAAUGCAACGUAACAUCAGGGAAAUUACUUAGCAUCCAUACCAAUGAUUAAAUCUCAGUGAGAAUAUUUAAGGACUGUUCUUCCCCAUAAGCUACUUUUUGACAAAGUUGGAUGGAAUAUAUAAUUUACUUACCUUCAGGUAGUGAUUGUCUUGAUUCAUUUUUGACAGGAUCCUUCUGCUCUUUUGCUUACAACUUGCAAGAAAACAGUUAAGUGGUCCUAUGGGAGGAGUAAAAUUAUAGCUAAAUCCCUUUUUUUUUUUUUUUUUUGUAUGUGUGUUUGUGCAUGUAAAGCCUGCUGGUUAUGAGGCAGUAAUGCGGACAUACCAGUGCAUCUUCAGGAGAACGAUCUCAGGAUAUUUAAACUGAAGAUUAUAAUUACAGGGUGGCUAUAUCUGAAAUGGAAUAAUUCUAAAUCAUUUUCUAGCAGAUUUUCAAGAGUGGUUUUGCAAUGUUCAGAACACUGUCUAUUCUUUUUUUUUUUUUUGUCUGAUGGUGCCUUGGGUUUUGUUUCUAAGGUCAGUGUCUUUCAAAGAUUUGCUGCCAAACUAUUAAACUUUCUGACUCAUUUCUCUCUGAAGGAAUAAAAGAUAAAAUUCAAGGGUAGACUGUAGAAAGGCUAAAUUUCCAGAGAGCAAAGAGUAAUGAUGAAUUGCCUGUAAAAUGACACUUGUACUCUUCCCUCAGCAAUUUCACUCAACUGUCUGGAGGUUACUUCAGUUCCCCAAAACUAUCCAAAUAUCAAAAAAGGCCUGGAGGUAUAUGAUAUUUCAUGUCAACAGUGGAAGAAAAUGGAUUGACGUGAUUAGCUGCAUUUUAUAUCCAGCAAGAGUUUGCCAGGAGGAUUCACAAUGUUAUUGAUGAUCAAUUAAUCUUUUCUUUUUGAAAGCAUGGGAUGGGAAUGACCUGUUUAGGGUUGAUUUGCAGGAACAUAUAGGCAGUAAAUCCUCUUUUAGCUGCCAGUAUUUAGAUGUCACUAGCAUUCACAAAAAUCUCUACUCAGCUCUUGACUGACCAUGGAGGCAGCUCUCAGCAGUGAGGCUUUUGCUUGGGAAGGACCUAUAAAUAUUAUUCCACUGAAUAUAUGUGUAAUGAAUUGAUGACACUGCCAUAGUCCAUGCCUCCUGAGACUUGGCAGAGUUCAGCAACAGUUACAUCUGUAUCCAGAGGCUUUUCAUGUUGGUGGUAUAAUUUCCACCUCAUAUACAGUAACUCAUCUCUCAUCUGGAAGACAGAUGGAGAACAGUCCUCCCUGUGCUUUUGAAGUGGUGAUUUACAUGUAGAUCUUCCAUUUCUCAUGACAGUUUCUAAGGUCUGAUGCAGACAGUCUUCUAGAAGUAAUCCCAUUUCUCUGCCCUUCCCCUUGUUUUGGUUUAUGCAUUACUUUAAACAUUCCUUACAGCAAGUUUCCAGCUGACUUAAUUACUGUACAGUUGCUCUCACUUUGCCAUUAACCCAAAACAGGAAAGACAGAUGAAAGCUGUAUAAUCAGAGUGGGAUAAACGAGUUGCCUCUGCUUCUGAAAAAGAAAUGUAGAAAUGCAAAUAAUUAUUUGUUGCCCAACUUCUAUUGAGCCAGUUUUGUUGGGACUUGGAUUUAAGGGCUUAUUUGGUUGAGAAGGACAGAUUACUCCCUGAAAGCAAAGCUUUGUGAAAAACAGAAGAACAUUGUAAUUACAUGGCAAGACUGAUAUUUCCAAUUCAGUUACCCUGAGCAAGCCCAUUUUUAAUUACAUUUUCCAUAAUAUUUUACUAGACUUCUAUAGCCUUAGGAACAUCAUUUAAUAACUAGUGUUUAGAUACUAAACACUUUAUAGAUUGUUUACAGGAAGUUGUAUAAUAUUGUGGAAAGCAUAGUAAAAAUUUUAAAAUAAUGAUUCUAAAAUUUUAACCUGUGGGAAAAAAUCUGAAUUUGAUGUAACAAAACACUUUAAUUAGCUCUAAAGAAGUGAUGUUAACAGCAUAUGUACUCAUGGGUUAUGAAGUGGCAUAUUUGUGCUUUCAGAUUAUGGCAAAGAUUCAAUUGGCUAGGAUUUGAUUCUCAUAUCUCUAAUUCAAUAACUGAUCCCUAAAACUUGUAUCUGGUAUUAGGACUGAGAGUCAAAUAUUAGAAUAGAUAAUGGUUUGUGGGUUUUUUUUAAAUUGGUAAUUCUUAGAAAAUGUUCUAUUCAUUCACUGCUUUUGUUAUACUGCCUUUUUUGCAACUAUAAACUCAUAUUUUUCUGUGUCAUGCACAGCCUCAUCUUGCUUAGCAAAAAAUUAUACUGAUAUUAACUAGUUAUAAUUGAGUUUCCAAUGCAGUAGAAAGUGUAAAUCUUUUUGAAUCUCCCUUUUUCUAAGUUUUUGUAAACAAAAUUUCAAGAAAGAUCAUCUCUGAUAUAUAAAAGAGCAAAAAAGAAUUUGUAUACAAGGCUAGCUCCUUUGUGUCUAUGCAACUACUCCUAAAGGCUUCCCCAAGAGUGUUUUUAUCUUCUGGGUAUGAUUUAGAGUCAAGUAGAUUAAUUGUUUAACAUUGUCACUGCAUCUAAUGCAGGUCCUUCCAAAGACACUAAAUGUGCAGAAGCUGCAAUACUGUGAAGGGGAAGGUAAGAACGUCCAACCUGAAAGCUAAUGCUGUUGGUAAAAUAUUGUGUGUUAGUACUCCCUGAUGUAAAUUUAAGGCAAAUAUUAGGCUUAACAUAGAUCUCUAACUUUUUCUGUUUUCUUAUGAAAGAAAUGCAUUUCCUAUAUGAGAGGUGCAGAUGGCAGUGUUGAGUAGGUUACUGAAUGGUGUCCUUGCAGAAAAACUGACAAUUUAGCUUGCUUGAAGUAUAUUCUAAAGCUGUGUGACCGUCUCUCAUUAUUUAACCAGGUCAUCGACCACCUCAUUGUAUUACCUUAAAUAAUUAAGAGGGUAAAGCUUCUGCUAAUACAACAGAACAGCAAGGAUUUUGUACCUUGUAUAAAUUGAGUAUGAGUGAAGUGUUUGCCAGGCUGCAUUUUGAAUCUAGCUUUUUAUUUAAGCUAAAAUGGUGUAGUUCUGUGGAAUGCAUUGAGAUUAUGCAGAUUUCCUCUGCUGGGAAUCCAUACUUUUAAUUUCUUCCUAUAAUGGACACCUCUUUUAAACAGAAUUAUUUCGUAAUUAGAUAUUACUUGAUCUUAAAACCCUUAAAGGUACUGGGUAGCUUCUCAUAUGCUUAAAAUAAUGGGCUGGUGCAGUUGCAUGGCUUUUGCUUUGGGGUAACUUUCAGAGCUAUGUUUGGAUAAAGGACAGAUGAUUUUUAAAACAAGCAUCCACAUCUUACCUUCAAUUAGGUUAGGAUUAACAUCUCUAUCAUCACUAGGUACAGAUUCUCAUUCCGUUGAAGUUCCUCCUUGAGUAUUUUGUCUCCAGGUCACAAACAUGUAGACAAGAGGUCGGGUAAACCAGACAAUAGGGAAUGCCACGGUAUGUUAACAACACAUCUUUUCUGAUUUCUAGGUAUCUUUUUCAGUAUAACUGAAAUACCUGCCCUUCAUUUAAGAUUUACAGCCCCUAAUAUUCUCCCUUCUAUACAAACCAAGAGAACUUCAAGCUCUCCUCUUAUUGGUAUAUUCUAAUAUGAAAUUAGGUUCAUUUAUGGGCACAGCGCAUUCUUGCUGAGAUGGCCAAGAGUUUAUUUACUGGUUCUUCUGGGUAUGUUUGAAUUCAGACUUCUUUUUUAAUUAAAAUUUAUUCUAGUCAAAUGGAAGUCAUUUUCUGAAGGAAAAAUGAGAAACAUUUACCUUAUACAAAGGUGUUACCUUUGUAGUGAGUUUGAAUCCCUCUUCCAAAGUCUCAGAUUAUUACAAUAUAAAAUUGAAAUAAUUUAAUAACUUUUUUUAACAUAAGCAGUGCAUUUCCUCCAUUUUUGUCUUUGAAGUUGGCAGAGCCAAUUAUACUGAAGUAUUUCCAAGGUACUAAUUUUGAGUAAAGCCAAAAUGUAUCUGACAAGCUAAUGCAGGAAGGUACUGUUUGACUUUUAACAUAAACAGCAUCAUUUGCAUGUUUGAGAAACGAGUCUAAGCAAUUACAAAGGAAAAACUACAUCAGUUAAAGGAAAGUAUGUGUACAUCAAAAUCUUAAACUGCCAUGGUUCAGAGCUUUUUCCUUGUGAAAUCCACAGUUAAACUGGAAGUAUGUUAAUGCUAGCAGAGGUACAGAAUUUGAGGUUUUGUUCUUCAUUUUGUUUCUCUCUUUCAUUUCUUAGCCUAUUAUUCUUAUCUGAAGCAUCUGGUGAGUUGUUCUAGAGUGUCUUACCCACAGAUGAGGUCAAAGAAGAGCACUUAAUUCUAUCUCUUUGUCAGGAGAUUGUGCUAAGUUCAGCGUAAUCAUUUUGCCCUUCCAAGUAAAGGACCAGGAAAAUGAGAAAAGACAGUAGAGUCAUGAAAAUAAGUGUUCAGUGUUUAGUUCUAUUAUAUGAGAGGUGAGCAGAAAGGACAAGAAAAGGGUGAAUGUUUUCUGUUUACAUGAGGCACUACUGGUAAAACAUAAGCCUUUAGAUUCCUUAUCUGUGUUCUGUGGAGUACCUGAUAGCUGGGGAGAUUUGCACUGCAGAUCAAAAUGAUGUGAUUUCUGCAUGCAGUGUUCUUCCAGAUUAAGUUCUUGUUUUCCCUAAUAAUUGCAUCUGUUGGAUAACACAGUAAUUAAUGCAUUGUGACACUUGCAAACAAAAUCACUUAAUCACAGUUAUACAAAAAGCAGAGCCUUAUUCACAUCUGCAGAAAAGCUUCCUUACUCUGAUGUUUUAAAGUUGCAGUAAAUAUUCUUCAAGUUUCUUUACACUGAUGGAGUGAAAAAAAUGACCUGAUUACAUAUGAGAACGUGACUUACAGAAUCCCCUCAAACGCUCACAACUAGGGAAGUCACCUUAUGCAGAAUAAGAAAAUGCAACCGAAUAAGGACAAUAUUUUCUGUUUGUCUGUAUACUGAUGAUCUUUACUGUCACUUUUAUAUCUAGAUGACAAAUUUUUCUCUCAACUCCUCAGAGAUUUUUAUUUUUUUUAUUUUAUUUUUUUUUCCCUAAGGCACAGUAAGGGGAAGAAAUCUGUUAAUUGCCUGUGAAAAAUCAGUUAGUUCAUAGGUCAUUCUCUGUAUAAGUGGGAGCUUGGCUGAGGGGAGGACAUGCAUGCAUGAUAAGCUGAUAAAUGGGCAGAUGAAGCUGGCAGCUAUACCCUUAAAAGUAUGCUAGAAAAGAUGCAUAUGUUCAAGGAGAUGCUCUGGAAACUGUGAGUUUGUACUGCUUCAUUUGUUCUUGGAAAUUAAAAUGGAGAAGAUGUGAUGAGCAGCUUGAUAUGAUUAUGGUUUGUGGCAUGCCGGAGGACUUAAAAUCACUUGUGGCUGUGACCUUAACUGCUAAUGAGUGAAUGUUUCCCUUGGUUACACCUGUGCUGCUCCACUGAUUCCAUGGUUCUGUUCUAGCACAGUGGAGUUCAAGUGAAAUAGAGUACUUAAAAUUCAUUGCUGUAACUGAAAUGCUGGUCACACAGUAACUGUUUUUAGAGGAAAAUUAUAGGAAACAAAUACUUACGUUUUGUAUUGUUGUUUUGUAGUCUACUUUUCUUCCUCUUUUUAAGCUAAAAGGAGUCAGUUUAGAUGAAGCAAAGAAAUUCUUUACAAUAAGGGUGGUGAGGUGCUGGCACAGGCUGCCCAGGGAAGCCCUAUCCCCAGAAAUGCUCAGGGCUGGGCUGGUCGGGGCUUUGGGCAACCUGAUCUGUGCACUGGCAUGGACUGUGGAGCCCACUGAGAUCAUAUUUUUGCUAUGAGUCAAGAGCCUUGGAAGCUCUUGGUACUGAAUUUAAAUAUAUGAAGCUGAGGCUAUGACAGAUUUCUCUAUUCAUAUGGCUUCAUGAAUUCUAGCUGUACCAUGUCCCAUUUAAUCUUAAUUUCUUUCAAGAAGCCUUUAUUAAAAUUCUUGCCACUUAUAAGAAUAGGAAUGAAGAAAUUCUGUGGUUGGCAUCUUUUAAAUAAAACGUUUCUCCUUGCAUCUUUCAUGCCUGACACUCUCUAGUUUUCCCAUCUUCUAUAUAUCUUCUGUGUAUUUUGAUUUGUUAGAAGUCACUCUCCUCACCUGAGGUCAGAGACAUUUUCAGCCUUCUGUCUUAAACUGCUCCAAUGAAUUCUCUAAGAAUAAGCAUUGCAGUAACUUAACUAUAUGACCGAUGAGCUAUCAGCUCUUUGAGAGGAAUAAUACUUUGUAUCUGGGACAGCUAAAUCAAGGCAUUCAGGUAUGAAGUAUCUGUUUUAAUUGUGCAAUUAUAAUAAUUCACAUAAUUAUUUUCAGGGAAUUGUUACUAUGUUCUGAGACUAGACAUCCUGAGAGACUGACAACGGGAUACUAAAUUCUGCCACACAGAUUACACAGCUGAUUUCAUCCCAUAGACAUAGCUCAAGCUGUUUCACAUUGCUGCUUGGUCUCUGCAGUAGGAAUAAAAGCGUUUCUAGAGCUAAGCAUCUAAAAAUCUUGGUCCAUGUUAGUUGUUAGCUUUAGCCACUGUAGCAGAAGUAAGGUUAUUCUAAUAAGUUAGUAUGUAACAAGGCAGUAAUGAGACCAUCAUAUUUAAUUAGUUAUGAAUUAGUAUUGUGAGUGAAAAGCUGUUCCUGGCUCUGGAAGCAGCCACUCCGGGGCUAAACUGAAGCACAGCAGUAUGCAGGAGCUGCUGUUUCUCUUUGCUGUUCCUCUAAUAAAAGAGGAGCUUGAAUUCCAAUAUUGCCAGUUUGGCACUUUUAACAAAACAAACUUGGCACAAAGAACAUGGCGCUCUAAAAGGAGUUUGUUGUAUAAUGCAUUAUACACAGUUGGUGUUGUGGCUGAUAAGAGAGUCACUUGUUGUGUUAAUGCACUGUGCACCUAUCCUGGAUUACCGCUCAGCCCAUUUGAUCUGAUACAUUCUCUUAUCAGAUAAUUCCCCGCUGAAUCAAGUAUAUUUUCUGCCCACUCUUGGCUUUAAUAUAAUUAAUCAAAGUUACUCUCAGUUAAAUUUAUCAUGAUUCAAUCAGGUGGUUUGUUGGGCAGUGUAAUUAUUUGUAAGAUGUAUAAUUUAUAAAGUAAAACAUUCCUGUUUGUGACACCCUGGCUGAUCCCAUUUGGUGUGAAUGCCAGCAGGACUCUCCCCAGGCAGCACGUAACUGAGCUGCCCCAGGUUAGGGACUCUCAUCUACUCUGGGCAUCAUUAUCCUAUUUACAUUUUCUGUGUUAGUCUUUGAUUAAUGCUGCAGGAUCUGAAGCCAUUUAUGAGGAAAAAAAGGUGUUUGGAAAGGGAAAUUAUGCAAGGACUGCACUGCUGACAACUGUGUGUUCAAAUUCUGAUAAAGAAGCAACAGUGUAUUUCCUUACACUGGAAGCUUCACUACCUUUGCAGCUGUAGCCAAAGCAGUUCUAGCCUGUGAAAAUUUUAAACACAGCUAUCUCUGAGAGGCAGACUACUGCAAACAAAAUGCCCAUAGAUUUAUUUCAGUAUGGAGUCUGCAGCUGUAGUAGCCUCAAGCACAGGUGCAGAGCAUGUAGCAGCUGGAUCCGUGUGUGCUGGUGCACAGAUGCAGCAAACACGUUGUGUUUGGGAGUACAAAUUGCUUCUCUGAAUUUUGAAAGCAGCAGCUACAACUUCCUUUGCAAGACCUUGUAAGCAAAGGGAUUGUUCAGGAGCAGAAAUCUUCCAAAGACAUGAUAAAAAAGAGGAAUACACAAAGGGAUAAGUAACUGCCACCUGAACCCGAUUCUCAGGCACUGGCACAAAGAAGGCUAGACACAAAUCAGAGUGAGCUAGGCCUUUUACAGGAAAGAUGGAAUACAUCAGACUUUCAUACAUCCCCAAACAAACACCUAAAGGAAUUCAGGUAAUUUCUCUCAGAAAAGCUCUUACAAAUCAUGAAAAGCUAAAGAGUGCCACUCAUGAGAUCCUUAUGGCAACCUGAGUGGGCCCUUAACCUGCUCUGGGAGGGGUGUUCAUGUUGGCAGGGAUAGUGUUUCAGCUGUAUCCUUAGAAACUCCCUGCUCUAAGGGCUCCCAAUUAAGCUUUUUAUAUUUCUGAUCUGAACUCGUACAUUUAAAACUGUGUCACAGAAGUCAGUGUAGACAUCUACAUACAGAGAAGUGCCAGUCCCCCAGGUUUGUCUAUAGAACUGCAGCACAGCUGAGAGACUGACAUAGCUUUGAAAACCUGUGGGAAUUCGGAGUCUUUUAAAAUGGUUUGCACUGUAUGUGACGCACCCAUGACCAAAGCUAUCGAAUUCCCUUGUACAAUGAGUAGUAAUUACAGAUUCCAACUUUGUUUUAGUUCUCAAUGUUUCUAAAAGUUCUUUACAAAUAUAGUUGGCAUCUGGGAUUCUGAAAGCUGCUCUAACAAGCUAGGUGCUCAGUUCUCUUUAGCGAAGACUGGGCUUCCAUCUGCAGCCUGCUUUUUAUAAGAUUGUUUUUCACAACUAGAGAUUGAAAACAAAUUAUUCAGACAACAUGCUAGAAAGCCAAGAUUUUAUGAUACUCGAUCAAAGAAUAAGAUUAGUGACCAGAAAUGUUAAGCAGUAAGGUAUCAGAACAAUAUGAACGAGACUGUGUUUUUGGUAGUAAUUUUAGUCCACUGACAUAGUUUGUUAGGAAAAGUAAAAUCCAGGACCACCUCCUCCUUUCCAUGCUUGUGUUUGACACUGUUUCCCUCUCCCUGUGGGAGGUGGUGUGCUCCAACUGAUCCCACAUUGAAUUCUGAAGCAGGAAGGCCUCAUGCACAGGCUCCCGUUCCUCAGGCAGUGUGUAGUAGUACACCCCAGCCACCACAUGUCCUCUAUUGGUCCCGUCUCUGAUUUUCACCCCGGAGCUCUCAACCUGUUGCUCAGAGGCAGCUCUUUGCACUCUAUCCACCUCUUAACAUAGAGGACAACUGUCCUGCCCCUCUUUCCCUGCCGAUCACUUCUGGAAAGCUUGUUCUCCUCCAUAGUCAUCCUGCACUCACAUGAAUCAUCCCACCACGUUUCUCUAGCUGCAAUUAGGUCAUGGUUUGCUAACUGUGUUGUGGCUUCCAACUCUUCCUGCUUAUUUCCCAGGCUGCAUUACUUUCUCUCUGCCACUGCUCCCUCACACAGUUCCUACAGGGAAUAUUCUUCUGCUGCAGAGCAAGGUGCUCCCUGCUCAUACUGCUGUUCUUACUCUGUUCCUUGCAGACAGGUGGCAUUUUCCCUGUGCUAAACCCUUUGUCCAGCUGCACGAACACCAGCCUCUGAUUGGUUGAGCCGUGCUUUGCAGCAGAACCUUCUGGAACUGCCCGGAACCACCUGUUCCGGCUCUACCCUCUCCUCACACAGGCCCUGCAGCCAGCAGCUGCACAUGGACAGCCAGAACAAAAGCACACAGAUGGCUUCUCAGAGGCAGCUUAUGCAGUGUAGGGGUGGAGGAUCGCAGUGGGGUUCCUGCAGCACCUCACAGCCCUGCUUUGCCUGCCGGUGAAUCGCAGGGGCUGCUCUGCAUUGUGCCAUCGACCACCGGGGUGUCAGACUGCAGUGCACAGGUACAGUGUGUUGCACAACUUUAUCCUGUCAGGAUUUUUGGAAACCAAAAUCUUUUACCCCCUACUGGUGUAUGGGAUGCCUUUCUGCCUGUGGCUGUUCUGUAAAACGUCCCAGCCAGGCUGGAAAUAGAGCUUGUCCCCUCAGAAGACCACCGGAGGGCCAGCCAGCUCCUUACAACGGCCGCUACCACAGCGGCGCCGGGCCGUUGCCCUGUGGAACUUUCCCUCGCUUGCAGGCGUGGCCUUGGGAGUGUCGGCCCCGUGCCUGGAGUGCAGGGGAAGGGCCGGGCUUGCUCGGUGCCUGCUCUGAGGUUUGAACAUCGGUUGGGUCCCGCUUCCUAGGAAAAAUAAUGCAUUAUAAAUCAUGGACGUGUAGCCCAUCAGUAUGAAGUGAGGGUGCAGUGCAACCAAAACGUUCUGACUCAGCAUAUGAAAUACUUUCUUUAUCCUGAACUUUCUGUUUCCUGGACUGCAUGUUCACAGGACAGUACAGGGUAAGCAAAAUUCUUUCUAUUAUCCUCUCAUAAAGCCUAAGAGCAAUCAACCAGUUAUCCAUUAUAUCAACCUUUACUGGGCAUUUGCUUUUGAGGCAGUGACGUUUGAAUCAUGGGUGUUUGUUUAGGUAUUGGAUAGGGAGAUCAACGUUUCCUUCCAAUUCCAUUUUAGCUUUUUAUUUUAGUAACAAUAAUGUAAUGCAGUGAGGUUUCUUGUACACUGUUUUAAGCAUGCGAUGACCCUCUUUGGAUUUUAAUUAUCUUUGUCUUCAAUGCAAUUAGUCACAGUGGUGGUUUGCUACAAGAAAUGCGGUGGGCCACUCGGUAGAAUGCAGAAUUCCAUUUUUUUCUAGGGAGAAUACAGAGCAAACAUUUGGAUGUGUCUAAAAACCCAGAACUGACAAAGUUCAAGUGUGGAAAGUAUGCAUUGACCCAAUAUGCAGGAAAUGCUUAGGAAGAAAGAGUGGAAAUAUAGUUGUUGUUUAAGCUUACAAUGUAAAGAUGAGCAGAGUAUUGCUGUGUUUACAAUUGUAAUUGGUUUUUGUGACAUUGUGGUCAAAUGGAUAUCUGAGGGGUUCUGUGGAAUAAGAAGUGAAAAUGAUGAGAAAAAAGAACUGCAGUUUACAGUUUUAUGUGUGUAGUGUUCUUUCUUCUUUGGCAUUUUUGCUGAUGCUGGUGGAAGGGAUGGAAGGGAUAUUUGCAGCAGGUAGGUGAGGACUGUGAAAAGGAGCAGUGCAUUUUGUCAGGGUACUAGCACAGCUCAAAAUCUCUUGCCACAAACGCUUAUGAUGUUAAAACAGAUACAGAGCAAUUACCAUUUGCCAGGCAUUAAUUUUGCAAAAUUUAUGAAGUGGUUAACAGAAGUAACUGGAGUAAUAGAUGAAGUGGGGCGACAUCCCCAAACCUAUCAACACUAUUUACAGAUUUGGUGUGCCAGGUGAUCGUUCAGCAGUAAGUUGCAAUUCCUGUGCUUAUUUGUUUCUGUGAUAUGCAGCCAUCAGUGUGAGACCACAGGUGUUCCCUUACAGUUUCUCCUACUGUGCUGCCAGUACUUCCUUUUGCACACAAAAUACUCGAGAACUGUCUGAACUUGUAAAAAUCCAGUUGCAUGUCAUCAGCUGUCCUACAGUGAUGAAAAUGGUUCUGCUAAUAUUUGGUACAUAGGCUUGUGUUUCUAAUAAGGACAAUAGGGAAUGAUUUUAGGGAAUUAUAAACAGGAAACUGGAUGCUAGUUCUCAGUUUUGUUGGACUGUCAGUAUUGUACGGCCUGUUCAUACUUACAUAUCCCACUUUUAAAGGAGAGGAAUAUUGCUGUGUGAGGGUAGUGAAUGUGUUUGUUUGAAGCCAGAUACCUCAUUUAAUAAGAUAAAUACCAAGAAUAGAUGUGACAUCUUCAGAUCAUCCUUGUCAGGCUUGUGCUUAAAGGCUGACUUAUUUGUAAAACCAGUAUUCCACAACUCAUAGAAACACUGACAUGCAUACAUUCUUAAUGAAUGUUUAAAAAAACCCAUCAAAGCAAUAUUACAGUAUGGUAUAGAGUAUGGCAGUUGUUACAAUAGAUUUACAAUUUGCUCUGAAGCAAAAGGUUUCCAGUGAACUAAGCAGUAUCACUUUC